CACGUCAGCGCGCUUUGCUGACCUGCAUGGCAACAAAUCGCGUGCACGAGGGGGCGAUUUGUUGCCACGUCAGUAAAGCGCGCUGACGUGG
rfam:Gossypium raimondii Chr01_contig_41, whole genome shotgun sequence.